AUGUCCUAGGGGGUAUUGCACCUACCGAAGACUAUCAAACUCCGAAUGCCGUCAUCUUAUACUUGGGAGUCAGACUGUGGGUGAUAAGAUUCAUAGUCGACAGGGCAACAGCCCAGAUCGUCAGCUACGGUCCCUAAAUGUAAGUUAAGCGGUCAAGCAUGUGGGAUUGCACCGACAACCAGGAUGUUGGCUUAGAAGCAGCCACUCAUUCCACGAGUGCGUAAUCGACCACUGGUCGAGUGCUCCAGCGCCGCAGCUUUCCGGGGCUAAAACUUACUACCGAAGCUACGGCAUCAGUAAUGAUGGGUAGGGGAGCUUCCCAUACGGGUUGAAGCAUGACCGUAAGGACAUGUGGACAGUAUGGGAGUGAGAAUGUUGGCAUGAGUAGCGAGAUGUGGGUGAGAAUCCCACAGGCCGUAAACCCAAGGUUUCCAGGGGAAGGUUCGUCCGCCCUGGGUUAGUCGGGACCUAAGCUGAGGCCGAAAGGCGUAGGUGAUGGACAACAGGUUGA
rnacentral:rRNA from 1 species